UAUCAUACCUGUAUCGUUUCGCGACACAGAAGGGGAAUGGUUGAUAGGUUUCAACACCUUUAUUAAUGUAACCUUAGCUUUUGAGGCUGUAAAAACGACUCUCAUUUUGGGUUUAAAACCUGCUAUGAAAAAGAAGUUCAUGCACAUUAUUGUAGCUACUAAUUCUAUGCAUCUUUACAAUGCCAUAAAUAAUGAAACUGGAAACAAAACUAACUUCAUCUAUAUUUGCAGGG
rnacentral:lncRNA from 1 species